GAUGAACGCUGGCGGCGUGCCUAAUACAUGCAAGUCGAGCGAACGGACGAGAAGCUUGCUUCUCUGAUGUUAGCGGCGGACGGGUGAGUAACACGUGGAUAACCUACCUAUAAGACUGGGAUAACUUCGGGAAACCGGAGCUAAUACCGGAUAAUAUUUUGAACCGCAUGGUUCAAAAGUGAAAGACGGUCUUGCUGUCACUUAUAGAUGGAUCCGCGCUGCAUUAGCUAGUUGGUAAGGUAACGGCUUACCAAGGCAACGAUGCAUAGCCGACCUGAGAGGGUGAUCGGCCACACUGGAACUGAGACACGGUCCAGACUCCUACGGGAGGCAGCAGUAGGGAAUCUUCCGCAAUGGGCGAAAGCCUGACGGAGCAACGCCGCGUGAGUGAUGAAGGUCUUCGGAUCGUNAAACUCUGUUAUUAGGGAAGAACAUAUGUGUAAGUAACUGUGCACAUCUUGACGGUACCUAAUCAGAAAGCCACGGCUAACUACGUGCCAGCAGCCGCGGUAAUACGUAGGUGGCAAGCGUUAUCCGGAAUUAUUGGGCGUAAAGCGCGCGUAGGCGGUUUUUUAAGUCUGAUGUGAAAGCCCACGGCUCAACCGUGGAGGGUCAUUGGAAACUGGAAAACUUGAGUGCAGAAGAGGAAAGUGGAAUUCCAUGUGUAGCGGUGAAAUGCGCAGAGAUAUGGAGGAACACCAGUGGCGAAGGCGACUUUCUGGUCUGUAACUGACGCUGAUGUGCGAAAGCGUGGGGAUCAAACAGGAUUAGAUACCCUGGUAGUCCACGCCGUAAACGAUGAGUGCUAAGUGUUAGGGGGUUUCCGCCCCUUAGUGCUGCAGCUAACGCAUUAAGCACUCCGCCUGGGGAGUACGACCGCAAGGUUGAAACUCAAAGGAAUUGACGGGGACCCGCACAAGCGGUGGAGCAUGUGGUUUAAUUCGAAGCAACGCGAAGAACCUUACCAAAUCUUGACAUCCUUUGACAACUCUAGAGAUAGAGCCUUCCCCUUCGGGGGACAAAGUGACAGGUGGUGCAUGGUUGUCGUCAGCUCGUGUCGUGAGAUGUUGGGUUAAGUCCCGCAACGAGCGCAACCCUUAAGCUUAGUUGCCAUCAUUAAGUUGGGCACUCUAAGUUGACUGCCGGUGACAAACCGGAGGAAGGUGGGGAUGACGUCAAAUCAUCAUGCCCCUUAUGAUUUGGGCUACACACGUGCUACAAUGGACAAUACAAAGGGCAGCGAAACCGCGAGGUCAAGCAAAUCCCAUAAAGUUGUUCUCAGUUCGGAUUGUAGUCUGCAACUCGACUACAUGAAGCUGGAAUCGCUAGUAAUCGUAGAUCAGCAUGCUACGGUGAAUACGUUCCCGGGUCU
rnacentral:rRNA from 1 species